ensembl:ncRNA ZK185.8 ncRNA
AACCACUGCAACCAUCAGAAGAGAUAGUACUAAUGAUGCGAGAGACGCAGUCACAACUGCUGAUAACAACAAGCAUAGAGUAUCGUCGAAUGAUAUCUGAAGUUCAUAGUAGAUACUUUAAAUUGACAGGAUGGAUAUACCGCUUGUUC